AUACUUACCUGGCAGGAGAGAUUCCAUGAUCACCAAGGUGGUUCUCCCAGGGUGAGGCUUAUCCAUUGCACAUUUGUUCAUGUUUUUUAUAGUCUUUUUGAUAUUUUGUAUUUUUAUUC
rnacentral:snRNA from 1 species